AUUGAACGCUGGCGGCAGGCCUAACACAUGCAAGUCGAGCGGAUGAAGGGAGCUUGCUCCUGGAUUCAGCUGCGGACGGGUGAGUAAUGCCUAGGAAUCUGCCUGGUAGUGGGGGAUAACGUCCGGAAACGGGCGCUAAUACCGCAUACGUCCUGAGGGAGAAAGUGGGGGAUCUUCGGACCUCACGCUAUCAGAUGAGCCUAGGUCGGAUUAGCUAGUUGGUGAGGUAAAUGCCUACCAAGGCGACGAUCCGUAACUGGUCUGAGAGGGUGAUCAGUCACACUGGAACUGAGACACGGUCCAGACUCCUACGGGAGGCAGCAGUGGGGAAUAUUGCACAAUGGGCGAAAGCCUGAUGCAGCAAGGCCGCGUGUGUGAAGAAGGUCUUCGGAUUGUAAAGCACUAUAAGUUGGGAAGAAGGACAGUAAGUUAAGACCUUGCUGUUUUGACGUUACCAACAGAAUAAGCGCCGGCUAACUUCGUG
rnacentral:rRNA from 1 species